rnacentral:rRNA from 1 species
GAUGAACGCUGGCGGCGUGCCUAAUACAUGCAAGUCGAGCGAACAGACGAGGAGCUUGCUCCUCUGACGUUAGCGGCGGACGGGUGAGUAACACGUGGAUAACCUACCUAUAAGACUGGGAUAACUUCGGGAAACCGGAGCUAAUACCGGAUAAUAUAUUGAACCGCAUGGUUCAAUAGUGAAAGACGGUUUUGCUGUCACUUAUAGAUGGAUCCGCGCCGCAUUAGCUAGUUGGUAAGGUAACGGCUUACCAAGGCAACGAUGCGUAGCCGACCUGAGAGGGUGAUCGGCCACACUGGAACUGAGACACGGUCCAGACUCCUACGCGAGGCAGCAGUAGGGAAUCUUCCGCAAUGGGCGAAAGCCUGACGGAGCAAAGCCGCGUGAGUGAUGAAGGUCUUCGGAUCGUAAAACUCUGUUAUUAGGGAAGAACAAAUGUGUAAGUACCUAUGCACGUCUUGACGGUACCUAAUCAGAAAGCCACGGCUAACUACGUG